rnacentral:rRNA from 1 species
UAAGUAAGCGGAGGACAAGAAACUAAACAGGAUUCCCCUAGUAAUGGCGAAUGAACAGGGAUAAGCUCAGCUUGAUAAUUGGGGCCUCUGGCCUCGAGUUGUAGCCUCGGGAAGCAUCACUAAUAGAGGCGCAGAUGUAAGCCUCUUGGAAGAGAGCAUCCAUGUGGGUGAGAAUCCUUUGUGUCAUCUGCAGCCCUUUAUGUACGGUGUGCCUUCUCAGAGUCACGCUCCUCGGAACUGGAGCGCUAGGUGGGUGGUAAGUUUCAUCUAAAGCUAAACAUAGGCUUGAGACCGAUAGCAAACAAGUACCAUGAGGGAAAGAUGAAAAGGACUUUGGAAAGAGAGUUAAAAGUGCCUGCAAUUGCUGAAAGGGAAGCGAAUGGAACCAGCCAUCUGGGCAAGAUUGUUAGUCAGCAGUGCAACGUCUGAUUAGGGCAACGCAAGUGCUUUGGUCAGUUUGGAGCGCUCGCUGGUUGGUGCUUCUUGCCUUGAGAGCCAGCAUCUGUCUUCGACUGUGGACAACUCUUGGGGAAUGGAACCUGACCUGUGGGUUUGGGAAUGCUUCAAGCAGGACCCAGUUGUGGACAGUUUACGCGUGUUUGGGUUGCACCCCUACAAACACUCCCUUAUGGUCUUGUUUGUGUGGGGCCCCCGACGCUGUUAUGAUGGCACAAUGGUUCUUUUCGACCCG